AUUCUUUUGUGAUUCAUAGAGUGAGGAUUGGGUUUUCAUGCCAUUUCUGUGAGGUGUGUCUCCCUCAAACUGUGUUAAAGUGUUUUUCCAUCGUUUGGCA
ensembl:snoRNA